GACGAACGCUGGCGGCGUGCUUAACACAUGCAAGUCGAACGGAAAGGCCCUGCUUUUGUGGGGUGCUCGAGUGGCGAACGGGUGAGUAACACGUGAGUAACCUGCCCUUGACUUUGGGAUAACUUCAGGAAACUGGGGCUAAUACCGGAUAGGAGCUCCUGCUGCAUGGUGGGGGUUGGAAAGUUUCGGCGGUUGGGGAUGGACUCGCGGCUUAUCAGCUUGUUGGUGGGGUAGUGGCUUACCAAGGCUUUGACGGGUAGCCGGCCUGAGAGGGUGACCGGCCACAUUGGGACUGAGAUGCGGCCCAGACUCCUACGGGAGGCAGCAGUGGGGAAUAUUGCACAAUGGGCGGAAGCCUGAUACAGCAACGCCGCGUGCGGGAUGACGGCCUUCGGGUUGUAAACCGCUUUCGCCUGUGACGAAGCGUGAGUGACGGUAAUGGGUAAAGAAGCACCGGCUAACUACGUG
rnacentral:rRNA from 1 species